UACGUAGGGGGCAAGCGUUGUCCGGAAUCAUUGGGCGUAAAGAGCGUGUAGGCGGUUCGGUAAGUCGGCUGUGAAAGUCCAGGGCUCAACCCUGGGAUGCCGGUCGAUACUGCCGGACUAGAGUUCGGAAGAGGCGAGUGGAAUUCCCGGUGUAGCGGUGAAAUGCGCAGAUAUCGGGGAAGGAACACCUAUGGCGAAGGCAGCCUCGCUGGGA
rnacentral:rRNA from 1 species